UUGGAGGGCAAGUCUGGUGCCAGCAGCCGCGGUAAUUCCAGCUCCAAUAGCGUAUAUUAAAGUUGUUGCAGUUAAAAAGCUCGUAGUUGAAUUUCGGGAUCAGAUUGUCGGUCGUGCCUCGGUACGCACUGGCAUUAUUGGUUCCUACCUUCUGAAGAACCGCGAUGUCAUUAAUUUGGUGCCGUGGGGAAUCAGGACUGUUACUUUGAAAAAAUUAGAGUGUUUAAAGCAGGC
rnacentral:rRNA from 1 species